UGCAGGGUAGUGAAGUGGAUAUCAUAGGACAAUUGUCGUGUUCAGAGCGUAAGGUUCGAAUCCUUACCCCUGCAUCCA
rnacentral:tRNA from 1 species